rnacentral:rRNA from 1 species
GACGAACGCUGGCGGCGUGCUUAACACAUGCAAGUCGAACGGAAAGGCCCUGCUUUUGUGGGGUGCUCGAGUGGCGAACGGGUGAGUAACACGUGAGUAACCUGCCCUUGACUUUGGGAUAACUUCAGGAAACUGGGGCUAAUACCGGAUAGGAGCUCCUGCUGCAUGGUGGGGGUUGGAAAGUUUCGGCGGGUGGGGAUGGACUCGCGGCUUAUCAGCUUGUUGGUGGGGUAGUGGCUUACCAAGGCUUUGACGGGUAGCCGGCCUGAGAGGGUGACCGGCCACAUUGGGACUAAGAUAGGGCCCAGUCUCCUACGGGAGGCAGCAGGGGGGAAUAUUGCACAAUGGGCGGAAGCCUGAGGCAGCAACGCCGCGUGCGGAAUGACGGCCUGCGGGUUGAAAACCGCUUCCGCCUGUGACGAAGCGGGAGUGACGGUAACGAAUAAAGAAGCACCGGCUAACUACGUG